GACGAACGCUGGCGGCGUGCUUAACACAUGCAAGUCGAACGGAAAGGCCCUGCUUUUGUGGGGUGCUCGAGUGGCGGACGGGUGAGUAACACGUGAGUAACCUGCCCUUGACUUUGGGAUAACUUCAGGAAACUGGGGCUAAUACCGGAUAGGAGCUCCUGCUGCAUGGUGGGGGUUGGAAAGUUUCGGCGGUUGGGGAUGGACUCGCGGCUUAUCAGCUUGUUGGUGGGGUAGUGGCUUACCAAGGCUUUGACGGGUGGCCGGCCUGAGAGGGUGACCGGCCACAUUGGGACUGAGAUACGGCCCAGACUCCUACGGGAGGCAGCAGUGGGGAAUAUUGCACAAUGGGCGGAAGCCUGAUGCAGCAACGCCGCGUGCGGGAUGACGGCCUUCGGGUUGUAAACCGCUUUCGCCUGUGACGAAGCGUGAGUGACGGUAAUGGGUAAAGAAGCACCGGCUAACUACGUG
rnacentral:rRNA from 1 species